GAUGUAUCGCUCCCUGUGUGCUCAACACACGCAUGUCCAACGGGAUGUAGCAAUACAUUCAGUAGCGCAUGCGCGAGUAACACGUACUUAACAUACCUUUAAGACUGGGAUAAUUAUUGGAAACAAUAGCUAAUACCGGAUAUAGUUAUUUAUCGCAUGAUGAGUAAUAGAAAGGAGCUUCACAGAUUCACUUAAUAAAGAGGGUGCGGAACAUUAGUUAGUUGGUAGGGUACUGGCCUACCAAGACGAUGAUGUUUAGCCGGGCCGAGAGGCUGUACGGCCACACUGGGACUGAGAUACGGCCCAGACUCCUACGGGAGGCAGCAGUAAGGAAUUUUCCACAAUGAGUGACAGCUUGAUGGAGCGACACAGCGUGCAGGAUGAAGUUCUUCGGAAUGUAAACUGCUGUUAUAAGGGAAGAAAAAAUAGAAUAGGAAAUGAUUUUAUCUUGACGGUACCUUAUUAGAAAGCGACGGCAAACUAUGUGCCAGCAGCUGCGGUAAUACAUAGGUAGCAAGCGUUAUCCGGAAUUAUUGGGCGUAAAGCGUCCGUAGGUUUUUUCACAAGUAUGGAGUUAAAUGCUGAAGCUCAACUUCAGUCCGCUUUGGAUACUGGCAAAAUAGAAUUAUAAAGAGGUUAGCGGAAUUCCUAGUUUAUCGCUGUAAUGAGUAGAUAUUAGGAAGAACACCAUUAGCCGAAGGCAGCUAACUGGUUAUAUACAGACAGUAAGGCACGCAAGCGUGGGGAGCACACAGG
rnacentral:rRNA from 2 species